rnacentral:tRNA from 1 species
GCCCUUGUAGUGUAAUGGAUAACACAUCGGUCUUCGGAACCGCUAUUCAAGGUUCGAAUCCUUGCAAGGGCACUA